GUCCGAGCGCUAAGGCCCUUCGGGGUACACGAGCGGCGAACGGGUGAGUAACACGUGGGUGAUCUGCCUUGCACUUCGGGAUAAGCCUGGGAAACUGGGUCUAAUACCGGAUAUGACCUCGGAUUGCAUGUUCUGGGGUGGAAAGAUUUAUCGGUGCGAGAUGGGCCCGCGGCCUAUCAGCUUGUUGGUGAGGUAACGGCUCACCAAGGCGACGACGGGUAGCCGACCUGAGAGGGUGACCGGCCACACUGGGACUGAGACACGGCCCAGACUCCUACGGGAGGCAGCAGUGGGGAAUAUUGCACAAUGGGCGCAAGCCUGAUGCAGCGACGCCGCGUGCGGGAUGACGGCCUUCGGGUUGUAAACCGCUUUUGACAGGGACGAAGCGCAAGUGACUGUACCUGUAGAAUAAGGACCGGCCAACUACGUGCCAGCAGCCGCGGUAAUACGUAGGGUCCGAGCGUUGUCCGGAAUUACUGGGCGUAAAGAGCUUGUAGGCGGUUCGUCGCGUCGUUUGUGAAAACUUGGGGCUCAACCUUAAGCUUGCAGGCGAUACGGGCGGACUAGAGUACUUCAGGGGAGACUGGAAUUCCUGGUGUAGCGGUGAAAUGCGCAGAUAUCAGGAGGAACACCGGUGGCGAAGGCGGGUCUCUGGGAAGUAACUGACGCUGAGAAGCGAAAGCAUGGGUAGCAAACAGGAUUAGAUACCCUGGUAGUCCAUGCCGUAAACGGUGGGUACUAG
rnacentral:rRNA from 1 species